CCUACGGGGGGCAGCAGUGAGGAAUAUUGGUCAAUGGACUAGAGUCUGAACCAGCCAAGUAGCGUGAAGGAUGACUGCCCUAUGGGUUGUAAACUUCUUUUAUAUGGGAGUAAAAUGUUCCACGUGUGGGAUUUUGUAUGUACCAUAUGAAUAAGGAUCGGCUAACGCCGUGACAGAAGUCGCGGUAAUACGGAGGAUCCGAGCGUUAUCCGGAUUUUUUGGGGUUAAAGGGAGCGUAGGUGGAUUGUUAAGUCAGUUGUGAAAGUUUGCGGCUCAACCGUAAAAUUGCAGUUGAAACUGGCAGUCUUGAGUACAGUAGAGGUGGGCGGAAUUCGUGGUGUAGCGGUGAAAUGCUUAGAUAUCACGAAGAACUCCGAUUGCGAAGGCAGCUCACUGGACUGCAACUGACACUGAGGCUCGAAAGUGUGGGUAUCAAACAGGAUUAGAUACCCUAGUAGUC
rnacentral:rRNA from 1 species